CCUACGGGUGGCAGCAGUGAGGAAUAUUGGUCAAUGGACGAGAGUCUGACCCAGCCAAGUAGCGUGAAGGAUGACUGCCCUAUGGGUUGUAAACUUCUUUUAUAUGGGAAUAAAAUGUUCCACGUGUGGGAUUUUGUAUGUACCAUAUGAAUAAGGAUCGGCUAACUCGGUGCCAGCAGCCGCGGUAAUACGGAGGAUGCGAGCGUUCUCCGGAUUUAUUGGGUGUAAAGGGAGCGUAGGUGGAUUGUUAAGUCAGUUGUGAAAGUUUGCGGCUCAACCGUAAAAUUGCAGUUGAAACUGGCUGUCUAGAGUACAGUAGAGGUGGGCGGAAUUCGUGGUGUAGCGGUGAAAUGCUUAGAUAUCACGAAGAACUCCGAUGGCGAAGGCAGCUCACUGGACUGCAACUGACACUGAGGCUCGAAAGUGUGGGUAGCAAACAGGAUUAGAUACCCGAGUAGUC
rnacentral:rRNA from 1 species